rnacentral:rRNA from 1 species
UACAGAGGGUGCGAGCGUUAAUCGGAAUUACUGGGCGUAAAGCGUGCGUAGACGGUAGCGUAAGUCAGAUGUGAAAGCCCCGGGCUCAACCUGGGAACUGCAUUUGAGACUGCUCUGCUCGGGUGCGGAAGAGGGAAGCGGAAUUUCCGGUGUAGCGGUGAAAUGCGUAGAUAUCAGGAGGAACACCAAUGGCGAAGGCAGCACUCUGGGACGUGACUGACGCUGAGACGCGAAAGCGUGGGGAGCAAACAGG